rnacentral:misc_RNA from 1 species
GCAACAUGUCCAAUUGUAUGGGCAACAGCAACAGGGAACAAAGACUUCCAAAACUCGAAGUCAGUUUUGGGAGCCUCGGCAAUUCUCGUCAUCCAUGAGAUCAACAUGAUCAGAGAUCCAGCGGCAAGCGACAGAGUCGAUGUCAGCCAUGGAUAUGGGUAAGCGUUCAACACCUUCUUGUUAUAGAUAUUGAAAACCACGUUCAAAGCCCACCAA